AAUUAACCAUGCAUUGUAGAGUAUUUAAUGCACAUGCGGGUAUGACAAAUUAACAAGGCAGGCAGGCAGGCCUCCUGUGGGCACACAUCCCCAGGAACUGUACAAUGUGGAAUACUGUAACAUUAGAGCAAACGCACAAGGUGCCUGAAUAACAAAACAAAGGUUGAGAGAGGUGUAUUCUGCUAUGAGAGCGCGGAGAGCUCGCGCUCUCUACGGCUUUCUGAGGGGUAUGAAAGCUCCUACUUGAUGCUGCCGGCCUACACAGGAAGGAGUACUGGAAGGACUGAGGAGAUCUUGUCUUAAUGUACAGACAGACCAGGAGGCAAGCUGGCAGCAGAGAGAGGUCACCUGGGCCUAAGAGGGGAGGCCUACUCUUAACAUCACACAUCCUGCAGGAUACUCACUGUAAACAAUGGCUAACCCCACCCCCAAUCUCCAGCUUCAGCCAGAAAUUGACCUGCCACCACAGUGGAUAUGGACAGAGAAAGCUGCGAUGUAGCAGGUUUCUUGGCAAGGACAAGACCUAGCGAGCGGAUUGCCUAUCCGUGUUUGGGGGCGAUUAGAACCAGAUGGGUCAGGUUGUGCCCUCCCGCCAGUCUAGGGCAGUGGAGUGACUGUCACUCAGACCCAUCUGGGGGGGGGGGCAUGUUAUGGCACUGAGGGUGUAAGUGUAAACAGUCUCCGGUAUAUGACUGACACUCAGUUUUGGUGGUAGAUCUGACAUCCUCCAUUUAACUCAGAAACAUAGAGGAAUACAGCUAGAGCCAGCUAGAGAGAAAGGGAAACAUGCUGGAGAGAGACUGGAGAAGAGAAAAAUAUUGAUUUAGAAAAAUUAGCACCCAGGGUAGUGAGAUGGCAGGAAGAAGGGAGAUACACAUUUAGAAGAGGCCUUUUAAAGAUUGUCAUGAAACAUAGAUGCAUUUUAGCUUUGUCUACACCUGAUGAGGUUUAAAGAUAAGCACACAUAGAGAGGGAAGGGGGAAGGAGGUGCAGUGGUGACUUACCCUUCUCUUCUCCUUCCUCUCAUUCUUUCAUUCCGCCACUCUGCCGAUCAGGUUUCUCCCGGUCUAUCAGCUGAGUGGUCGUGUGGGGUUUGAUCAAUGGCAGGAAACCAGCGGAUCAAAUGAGUUUUAUGGACUUGGGGACUAUGAAGAGACCCCUGGUGGCAUGUCUUGUGGGACAUUCUCAAAUUGAAUUAAGGUCCUGUUCUGUGCUGCACCCCCUCGGACCCCUUCGAGAGCCCCCCUGAACCCCCUUGGCCCGGUCCUGUUCCCCUCAUCCAGCCGCCUCGGACUAAUUAAAACCGGUGUGGCCUUGUCUUCGCUGGAUUAACCCUAACGAGGAUCCACUGACUCCACCAGCAUGUGCCUCUUGAUGAGAGAGAGAGAGAGAAACAGAGACAGACAGAAAGAGAAAUGGGAGGAUUUGUCCAGGCAACCUUAGCCUUGAAACCCAACACUUAAUUCACUACAGAUGAUACAGAAAAGAUGGAAGAGAGAGAGAGAAAGAGACAAAUAUACUUAUGUUGAUAGUUUAAAUCACUAGUGUGUGUAGUGUUUUAAAAACUGUUAGUGAACUCAUCGAAAUGUGGCCUGAUUGUGAAGAGAGUCAUAAAACGGACCUCUUGUCAGCCCUCUAUGAAUCCAUCUGAUUCCAUCAUACAGAGAGAUGAAUGCCAAUUCUCUUUCUUUGUGUGUGUGCGUGGGUGCCAGGGGCAGAGCAAAAUUCAAUUCUCUGGCUUUGAUAAUGCAUUAAUAAUAAAAUGCAAUGUUAAAACAUUU